AUCCAGCUGACGAGUCGCAAAAUAGGACGAAACACGUGUCCCAGAU
rnacentral:hammerhead_ribozyme from 1 species